rnacentral:rRNA from 1 species
UCCUACGGGGGGCAGCAGUGAGGAAUAUUGGUCAAUGGCCGGAAGGCUGAACCAGCCAAGCCGCGUGAAGGACGAAGGUGCCAAGCAUUGUAAACUUCUUUUGUCAAGGGACAAAAUCAGGCUCGAGAGCCUGACCGAGGGUACUUGAAGAAAAAGCAUCGGCUAACUCCGUGCCAGCAGCCGCGGUAAUACGUAGGGGGCAAGCGUUAUCCGGAUUUACUGGGUGUAAAGGGAGCGUAGACGGCAGGGCAAGUCUGGAGUGAAAGCCCGGGGCCCAACCCCGGGACUGCUUUGGAAACUGCCAU